AAACGCUCUCUUUUUGUUUCUCAGGCCGGAUUCCUGACAGUCUGAGGAACUGUGUCAAUAAGGAGUUUUUUGUGUCAUCAGGUUCCUGGGGCCUGAUGGAGCAGCAGGUUCAUCCUGAGCUCAACGGCGCCACCUACAGCCAAGUCAACCAAUCCCUGCAGGCCAUCACGACUGGCUCCGCCCCCCAAGACAGAAUCAAUGCCUAAAGCGAGAGCAGGUUCCCGUCAGGUCUGGCAGCGGGUUUGGAGGGUCUGGUUCCGGUGACCGCGAUAAACCACCCUUCCCAGACGCCGUCCCCAAACCAGCCCUCCAAACACGGAGAGAGCAGAGAGCAGCUGAGCGAGCAAUAGCAUCAGCAUCAGCAUCACACACCCGACUCCUUC